rnacentral:rRNA from 1 species
AGAUUAGCUUGCUAUAGUUGUCAGCUAAGUGGCGCACGGGUGAGUAAUGUAUAGGUAAUAUGCCUCUUACUAAGGGAUAACAAAUGGAAACGUUUGCUAAUACCUUAUACUCCUUAUUAACAGAAGUUAAUAAGGGAAAGAUUUAUUGGUAAGAGAUUAGCCUGUAUUGUAUCAGUUAGUUGGUGGGGUAAUGGCUUACCAAGACUAUGACACAUAACUGGUUUGAGAGGAUGAUCAGUCACACUGGAACUGAGACACGGUCCAGACUCCUACGGGAGGCAGCAGUGGGGAAUAUUGCACAAUGGACGAAAGUCUGAUGCAGCAACGCCGCGUGGAGGAUGACACAUUUCGGUGCGUAAACUCCUUUUAUAUGAGAAGAUAAUGACGGUAUUAUAUGAAUAAGCACCGGCUAACUCCGUGCCAGCAGCCGCGGUAAUACGGGGGGUGCAAGCGUUACUCGGAAUCACUGGGCGUAAAGAGCAUGUAGGCGGAUUAAUAAGUUUGAAGUGAAAUCCUAUAGCUUAACUAUAGAACUGCUUUGAAAACUGUUAAUCUAGAAUGUGGGAGAGGUAGAUGGAAUUUCUGGUGUAGGGGUAAAAU